rnacentral:rRNA from 1 species
UACGUAGGGUGCAAGCGUUAAUCGGAAUUACUGGGCGUAAAGCGUGCGCAGGCGGUUUUGUAAGCCAGAUGUGAAAUCCCCGGGCUUAACCUGGGAAUGGCAUUUGGGACUGCAAGGCUUGAGUGCGGCAGAGGAGACUGGAAUUCCUGGUAUAGCAGUGAAAUGCGUGGAUAUCAGGAGGAACACCGAUGGCGAAGGCAGGUCUCUGGGCUGACACUGACGCUCAUGCACGAAAGCGUGGGGAGCAAACAGG